rnacentral:lncRNA from 1 species
UUUUUUUUUUUUUUUAAUUCUUCCCCUGAACUCCCUCUAAACAAAAGGUUAAGGAGAAAUUUUUAGCAUAUUUGAUUUCCUGACCUAAGGGAAGACAUUCUUUAUUUCAGAACUUUUGACCCCCGAAGAGCUGUUACUUUGCCUGAAAGUAUGAGGGAGACAGAAUAAAAACUGUGAGACAUUUGAAGUGAUUGUGGGUUUUGAGACUGCUUUCUUUUGUGAACUGUGCGUGUCACAUUGCAGGAAAAUACUAUGAAAAAAAAAAAACAAAAAACAAAAAACACCCAAGUUUCUCUCUGUUUGGAUGGAAAACUUUGCCUGCUUUGCAGAAGCUCUCGCAAAUUGUUGACUGGCUUAAACCCGAUCCCUCCAAAGGCCCCUCAGUCCCUAACAAAAGUGGUAAGUGGUAAGAUGCAGUUCCUAAUUUUUAUUUAAGUCAAAGGUUAAUAGUAAAAGGGGGGUUGGUCCUUCACUGUUGCAAGUUAAUGUUUAUUUUUUUACCCUCGUUUAAAGAAUUUCCUUAAGGCUCUUCUUUCCCUGCAGAAAGCAGGGUGAGGAACUCAGAUUUCAUGCCCCCAGGCUUGAAUAAAGGAAUAAAAACAGCACAACAUUUGCAUCUAUUUAACAAUCUCAGUUCUAAGAGCCCCCUCACAGUGAGAGGGGAGAAAAAAAACCCGUAUCUCGAGGUUAAACGAAGUUAUUCUGAAAUAUUUGCCAAAAACACAAUUCAGAGAAAGAUAAUCAUUGUCAGAAAUGACCUAGGAAUUCCAGGCCAGAUGACUAAAAACACAAAGCUUAGAGAAGGAUGCAUUCUCUUGCUUUCCAGCCGGCCCGGAUAUCAAUGAGCAUCAGCUAAAGGUGGCUGAAGAACCAAUUUCAUGCAUCUACUGUACGAGGAAAUGAACUGAGCCAAGGGCAAAAAUAAAAUUAUACAAAUGUUAUUAUAGACUAGCCUGCUUCUGUCCUAGUUUAAUUCAAAUUUUAGUGCUGCAGGCUUUGCUCCUGGCAGUAGCCUUCCUGAAUAAAUCAACAUUUGCUUACAUCUAAAUUAUUAGGGGAGCAUGUGACUUUGUUUAUUGUAUAAAUUAUCCGCAAGGUUAAAGCAUUAACUGUUCAACUGGUUUUGUUCAGUCACCUCACCAACUCUUUCCUCGAGUCAGCUCUCCCCCAAAUAGGAAAGAAAAAUCUCAAAAUUACUAUUUUUUUUUUUUUUUAAGACGAACCCAAGAAGAGUCGCUAAAGGUAGGGUGGGAGACAGUCUGAAGGGUUAACAAAGAGGAAGAAAGGAGCCUAAGAAAGAGCCCUGAUAAGGUGUCUGCACAAAGUGAAAUGGUGAUCUGGUCAAUAAUCAGUUAAGUUGAUUAAGGCAGCCAACCAAAUGGGAUAAUUUAACAUAAAACUGAAGACCCUUUUGGCUAGGGUUUCAGGAGGCAAGGAAUUGCAAACUAUACGGCAAUGUUGGACCCAAACUUUUUUUUUUUUUUUUUUUUGUCGUUUUAGGGCCACACCGCUGGCAUAGGGAGGUUACCAGGCUAGGCUUCAAAUCAGAGCUGUAGACACUGGCCUACACCAGAGCCAUAGCAACGGCAGAUCUGAUCUGUGUCUAUGAUCUACACCACAUCUCACCGAACCCACUGGUUGAGGCCAGGGAUGGAACCAGCGUCCUCAUGAAAGCUAGUCAGGUUCAUUUCUGCUGAGCCUUGACCGGAACUCCAACCCAAACAUUUAAAUUGCCUUUAGCAAUUAGAAAAGAAAGUUAAACACAGAGCUGGACAAUGCAUUUAAGAACAAUGGAAUUUGGGUUUGUUUUUUGUUUUUAUCUCUUCUCAUCACAUGAGUACUUCCUGAAAGCUCACUCAUACAUGUUUGGGAACAAAGAAUGGAACUUCAUUAUUAGACAGUUUGACUUUCUAAGUAUUUAGACAAACCAGAUGUCAGGUGCGUCCUGCUUUGCGAAUGUUCAAUUUAAAUGAAUAGCAAGGGUUCAAAGUAGACAAAUCAGAGGCAAUUAAUUGCUUUAUAAAAGGUUCUUCUUUCUAUAAGAUCAUCCACAGGAGGCUUCUUGUAAAUUUUGAUCUUUCCCACAGUAAGAAAUUAAUUUAUGAAACUGUAAAUUGAAUUCAGUUAAAAAGGUUAGAUCCAGUCUUUUCCAAGAAUAUGUGUGUGGGUGUGUUAUCUUUAUCAAAACUCCUUCUAGAAACACUGCAGGUCAGGUGAUUUUUGUUUAGAGUGAACUUCUGCAACAAAUGAUUCAAAUGUAAGGUGUGUUCAAGAGGAAAAUCAAUUUCCCAUUCAGCCCACUCCUGAUUCUUUCUAUUUGCAUUCUAAAUUGGGCUUUGCGAUGGUGGACAGUGGUUUUCCAGAUGUGAUCAGUGGCAGGCAUUCACAGAAUCAUCCAGGCCUGGAGCCCAAGUAUCUGCCCUGUUAACAAAGGUCCACAUAACUGGGAUACACAUACACCAACAUGUGAGAACUGCUUUUGUAGGAUCUAAAAAAGAAGCAAAUGAUGUUGCUCUAUCUACAUUUUAUUUCAUGUGCUUUGCCUCUUCUGUUCAUGGUAUUCUGGAGCUCAGCCUAUUCUAAAAGGGGCUCCUAGCUGUAAGGCCUUCCAACCCUGGCCCUGCUUUGUUUGGUCAAGGGUAUUUUUGAAGUAUGCUUAGUCAUUCCUCUGGUAGACCCUGAUUUGUUUUGAGACAGUGAGCCUAUGAAAAAGCAUCACACAUAACUAUAAUUUUAUCUGAAAAAAAUUUAUCAGGUGUACAACUAAAUUGCUUUCCACCCAAUCGGUUUUUGUUUUUUGUUUUUUGUUUUUUUGUCUUUUUGCCUUUUCAAGGGCUGCUUCCGCGGCAUAUGGAGAUUCCCAGGCUAGGGGUCUAAUAGGAGCUGUAGCCACCGGCCUACUCCAGAGCCACAGCAACGCGGGAUUCCAGCCGCAUCUGCAACCCACACCACAGCACACGGCAACGCCGGAUCCUUAACCCACUGAGCAAGGCCAGGGAUCGAACUCGCAACCUCAUGGUUCCUAGUCGGAUUCGUUAACCACUGCACCACGACAGGAACUCCCCCAAUAGGUAUUUUUAAGAAGUAAC